ACCUCGGACCUAACGACGCUAUCACCUGAACGCCUAACAAAAGAAUUUGCUUACGCUUCCCGGCCACCAUAGUAAUUUCUCGGCGUGUUCCCUCUUUCGGAGGCUAUUGACACUAGCUAAAAGCGGCCAUGAUUUGUUGGAUACACGGCAGCUGAAUGUCAUCUCCGAUUUAGAUGAGGGAUUACAAAAUAUCAAGCACUCGGAUGAAAGUAAUAAGGUGUUGUUCUUAAAGCGUAGUAACAGUAGAAUUACUACAUAUCCAUGCAUUGGGCUCAAUGUUCCGUUGUCAGGUGUUAAUUUGGGGGCGAACUGCAACGUAUUCGGCCGGUCUUAUACGCUACGAUCUACUGUGAGCUGGUACGUUGAUGUAUAGUCCAGAAGAUGUCAUGUUGUUGAUGAGGACUUACAUCACGUACCAGUUACUAGGACUAGGAUUGACACAGAGAAAUCUGUAUCUGUCUCUAGAACAUCAAAGGUAUCCUGUGGACGUGGCCCUCACUCGCCAGGAGCAUUUGAAAGCGAAAGCGAUGGUGAACUUCCUUCCCCAGAUCCAAACCCAUCAUCGCCAACUUGGAACUGGAAAGGAUCGCCGCCACUGCCAUUGAAGGUCCGGAAAAAGACGCGGUGCAGCCCCAGAUCGCCAACUCCGCCAGCAUCGCCGGCCUCCCGGAAAAAUCGUGCAACAAUUUCCAAGGAAUGCCAAAGAACAGAGACGUCAGUCCGCCGUAAACAGCAAAAAGACAUGUCCGGUUUAUACACUACGCCGAGAUUCUUCGUCAGUCCAUCGAAGACUCCCAAAAGUGCACCGACCAAAGGUGCAAUGGCUGCGUCCAGAUCAGCUGCAACGAAGUCCACUCCAACGACUCCUCCACGUCAGCAGGCUUCCCUUACGAAACCAUCAAGCGAGUUGCUGGAUGUUGAAAAACAACGCCUAGAAAUAGAACGAGAACGACUUGGAAUUGAAAAGAAAAACCAUCUUCUUCUACAAGAGAUUAACAACCUCCAGAAGAAACGUCUUGAAGUUGAACUUGCCCGUGAUACUGCCCGUGACACUAUGAAGCAUCAAGACAACGUAUUUGACAUCUUUAAAUAGACUCUAAAUCGAUGAAUUAAACUUUUUGUUGAUACAGAUUACUGUUUUUCGGUCAUGCCGACCUUACCUAAUUAUUUUGUUCUUAAGGGUUGGCUAUAGGCACCGCCAUUUUGGCUAGAGCUUGAACUCUUGGAGCAACUAGAACUCAUUCAAAAUGCAGUUAAUACCAAUUUCAAGGCUGUUAUGCAGUUCCCUGGACAAAAAGGAACUGCAUACCAUCCUUGAAAUUUGCAUUCACUUCAUUUUGUACAAGAUCUAAUUGCUCCAAGAUUUCACGUUCUAGCCAAAAUGGUGGUGUCUAUAGCAAACCCUUAAAGGUUAGAAGUCUUCCUGGAUUUGUGCGGCCUUUCUUCCUUGACCUUUUCUUCCAUGUGAUUUGGAUAUAACGAAGUCCUUUGUUGCAUCCGACAGAUUCAAGAACAGGAAUAAAAUGUUGUAUAUUUA